rnacentral:rRNA from 1 species
CGGGGUGAGUAACGCGUGGAUAACCUGCCUCACACUGGGGGAUAACAGUUAGAAAUGACUGCUAAUACCGCAUAAGCGCACAGUACCGCAUGGUACAGUGUGAAAAACUCCGGUGGUGUGAGAUGGAUCCGCGUCUGAUUAGCCAGUUGGCGGGGUAACGGCCUACCAAAGCGACGAUCAGUAGCCGACCUGAGAGGGUGACCGGCCACAUUGGGACUGAGACACGGCCCAA